CUACGGGCGGCUCCAGUGGGGAAUAUUGGACAAUGGGGGAAACCCUGAUCCAGCAAUGCCGCGUGUGUGAAGAAGGCCUGCGGGUUGUAAAGCACUUUCGGUUGGGAGGACUGCUUCUAGCACUAAUAUUGUUGGAAGUUGACGUUACCUUCAGAAGAAGCACCGGCUAACUCCGUGCCAGCAGCCGCGGUAAUACGGGGGUGCAAGCGUGAAUCGGAAUUACUGGGCGUAAAGCGCGCGCAGGCGGCUAGAUCAGUCGGGUGUGAAAGCCCCGGGCUUAACCUGGGACCUGCAUCCGAUACUGUCUAGCUUGAGUACAGGAGAGGAGAGUGGAAUUCCACAUGUAGCGGUGAAAUGCGUAGAUAUGUGGAGGAACACCAAUGGCGAAGGCAGCUCUCUGGCCUGAUACUGACGCUGAGGUGCGAAAGCGUGGGGAGCAAACAGGAUUAGAUACCCCGGUAGUC
rnacentral:rRNA from 1 species